UCGCAGCCCUUCCAGAGUCUGAUGGCUUAAAUGUGAGCUGCACACGGUCAUGUUUGAUUCCCUCAAUCAGAGGAGGAAGAGGUUUUGAUGGAGGCUCGAAAUUGGUGCUGACCAGCUCUCCAUCCUCAUACAGAUAUUCACUGAGUUGCCGAGUAUUGAAUGGUGAUUGUUCUUUGCUGCUUAAAAUGUCCACCAGGGCCCCUUCCUCUGCUCCUCCUCCACGGAUACAGGGGAAAGUUGUGGCAGUUCUGUCCUUCAUCAUGUCAUUGCACCGCACGUCUAGUUCUGUGAGGUGCUCCAUGACAGCUUCAACAUCAGAAAUCAGCCUGACGCCGAUCUCACGUAUCAGCUGAGUGCUUCUGGAAUCUUGCUUGAUGAGUGGAUACAGCCAGACUGUCACUGGAACGGCCUUCUCCCCAUUGUCUCCCAGCAGCUUGGGGAGAGUGGAAUAAACUUUUACAGCAUCUUCAUAAGUAACUGGAUUGUUCUCAAGACCAAAGUCACCAUAGAACGUACAAGUGAUUUUGUCAGUAUUUUCUAUUUCCUUAUCCUCCAUUUUGGACUCUCCAUCUUCUUCUGAAAUCUUUGCUGUUUUUUCUAUCGUAAGUUUCAUCUUUCCCUGGAUCUCUUCUACACUUUCAGAAGAAGAAACUUCCUGAUCAAACACAAAGAAAGCCUGAGCCCCAUACAGCACAGCUGUGACCACAUGGGUGGCUUUGCCUUGGUCGAAUACAGCAGGAUAAGUAACCUGCUGUCCUAAAUGGCUCAUUGUCAGAUGCUCAGACCUCACUGUCAUUUUGUAUUGGAGAGUAACUCGCGCCUGAUGUCUGGAUUUCCUGGUGUCACUUAAAUAUACAGCAGAUCCAUUCAUUUCAACUAAACCACACAGGAAACUGGCCUUCAGCGAUUCACCAGCAUGGAGUGCAGAGGCCUUCUCUGCAAUGGUGUCAGAUGCAAUAACCUGAAAUUCAGUCUUGUAUUGUUUUUGCAUAUCCACGUCCUUCCUAAGAGCCGCACUGUCCAAUAGUGUGAUGCCUGCAAAAUUCCAAACACAGAGUGAGUAACAGAGAGGCUAGGAAAUCUUUCCACAGUUUAAGCAUGUCUAGAGCAUGAAUUGGGCCAGGUCAUAUUGGGUUGUUGACCAGAUUUUUUUUCUUUUUAGCUGCCAUCUUGUUCUCCAGAAUCUCAGCUUUCAUUUCAGAUUAAGUCUCUAGCCCUCAUGGGUGUGAAGAAUAAAAUGUGACCCAAGUGUAACCACUCCAGUGAGGUUUACCUGGUCCUGCUUUGAGCAGGGGGCUGGACUAGAUGACCUCCUGAGGUCCCUUCCAACCCUGACCUUCUACGAUUCUAUGCAGACAGCCUGAAACAAUAGCCCAGAAAGGUCUGAAGUGCCCCAGUCAUCUCCAUAUGGGCUUAAAUGAGAUGCCCAAUGACAGUAAUUUCAAUGUCAACAUUGCUAAUGAUGUCACUGCUGCCCAAAGCAUGUCAGGGCUAGUCUGCACUAGAAGCGCUACAUCGACAUGGCUGCACCAUGGCAGCUGCCCUGCUGUAAUGCGUCUGGGGAAGAGGCUCUAAGACGAGGGGAGCAGCUCUCCCAGCCGCAUAAUCCAUCUCCGUGAGGGGUGGUAACCAUGUCAAUGGGAGACGCUCUCCCACCGACAUAGCGCUGUCCACACCGGUGCUUAAAUUGACGUGAAUUAUGUGGCUUGGGGAGGUGGAUUAUUCCCACCCCUGAGAGAUGUAAGUUAUACCAAAGUAAGCUCUCGUGUAGACAAGCCUCAGAAAGGAGGGGGAGAGUCACAGAGCUGCACAAUCUACGGGGAUGCACCCUUCAUUUUGGUGCCAUGUGCGGGAGGCGUGUAGGUGCUAUUGUGACAGUGGGAUCCGUCGGUAUCAACUUAUGAAUUUUAUUCUGUAUUAUUUGUAACCUCCCCCUUUCCUUCCUGGGUUACUUGAGAGCAGGCAACUCUCACCUGUUGCCUGGGCACCUGACGUCAUUAAGGACAAUGGAGAUCCUGGGGGUCCCAGCUGAGAUGGGAAAUUCGGAGGGAAUCCUCAAGUAACCCCCCUGCAGUAGUGCUUUUACUGUUAGGAAUAUUUACAGUUGGUGGUGCCUCCACCUGGACAGGCACGGAAUACAUCUGUGACUGUACUUCGGUUGCCUCCAGGACCAAAAAUAUCAAUAAUGGAUCUUAGUCAGGCAAAAUAAAACCAACGCACGUUUAUUUAAAAUGUACCCUAACAGCACACAACAGAAGAUGCACCAGAGUCACAUGGAUUAAGUGGUUAUAUCCCUACCAGAUCAGUAGGUGGCGCUGCAAGAGCUCAGCUAACGACUGCAGCUUCCAACGGCAAGUCGCAAUAGAGCCCUAACCAGG